CCUACGGGUGGCAGCAGUGCGGAAUAUUGGUCAAUGGACGAGAGUCUGAACCAGCCAAGUAGCGUGAAGGAUGAAUGCCCUAUGGGUUGUAAACUUCUUUUAUAUGGGAAUAAAAUGUUCCACGUGUGGGAUUUUGUAUGUACCAUAUGAAUAAGGAUCGGCUACCUCCGUUCCAGCAGCCGAGGUAAUACGGAGGAUCCGUGCGUUAUCCGGAUGUAUUGGGUUUAAAGGGAGCGUAGGUGGAUUGUUAAGUCAGUUGUGAAAGUUUGCGGCUCAACCGUAAAAUUGCAGUUGAGACUGGCAGUCUUGAGUACAGUAGAGGUGGGCGGAAUUCGUGGUGUAGCGGUGAAAUGCGUAGAUAUCACGAAGAACUCCGAUUGCGAAGGCAGUUCACUGGACUGCAACUGACACUGAGGCUCGAAAGUGUGGGUAUCAAACAGGAUUAGAUACCCUUGUAGUC
rnacentral:rRNA from 1 species